rnacentral:rRNA from 1 species
UAGCGUAUAUUAAAAUUGUUGCAGUUAAAAAGCUCGUAGUUGAAUUUCUGCUGCAUUGCUUUUGCUCCUUUACGAGUCUUUGCAUUGUGGCUUAUUUCGGACUUUGUUUUACAAUGUCCGGAUGUUUACUUUGAGAAAAUUAGAGUGCUCAAAGCAGGCUUUCGCCUUGAAUAGUUUAGCAUGGAAUAAUAAAGUAGGACUUUGGUUCUAUUUUGUUGGUUUUAGGUACCAAAGUAAUGGUUAAUAGGAACAGUUGGGGGC